UACGUAGGGUGCAGGCGUUAAUCGGAAUUACUGGGCGUAAAGCGUGCGUAGGCGGUUUGUUAAGACAGGGGUGAAAUCCCCGGGCUUAACCUGGGAACUGCGCUUGUUACUGGCAGACUGGAGUGUGGCAGAGGGGGGUGGAAUUCCAGGUGUAGCAGUGAAAUGCGUAGAUAUCUGGAGGAACACCGAUGGCGAAGGCAGCCCCCUGGGCUAACACUGACGCUGAUGCACGAAAGCGUGGGGAGCAAACAGG
rnacentral:rRNA from 1 species